rnacentral:rRNA from 1 species
AUACGGAGGAUCCGAGCGUUAUCCGGAUUUAUUGGGUUUAAAGGGUGCGCAGGCGGCCAUUUAAGUCAGCGGUUAAAUCGUGGGGCUCAACCCCAUUCUGCCGUUGAUACUGGGUGGCUUGAUUGCGGUCGAGGUUGGCGGAAUUCGCUGUGUAGCGGUGAAAUGCAUAGAUAUGACGAAGAACGCCGAUUGCGUAGGCCGCUGACCAGACCGCAAAUGACGCUCAUGCACGGAAGUGCGGGGAUCGAACAGGAUUAGAUACCCUGGAGUCCGCACAGUAAACGAUGAAUACUUGUUUUCGGCGAUAUAAUGUCGGAGGCAAAGCGAAAGCGAUAAGUAUUCCACCUGGGGAGUACGCCGGCAACGGUGAAACUCAAAUGAAUUGGCGGGG